rnacentral:rRNA from 1 species
UACGAAGGGUGCAAGCGUUACUCGGAAUUACUGGGCGUAAAGGGUGCGUAGGUGGUUGUUUAAGUCUGUUGUGAAAGCCCCGGGCUCAACCUGGGAAUGGCAAUGGAUACUGGACAGCUAGAGUGCGGUAGAGGGUAGUGGAAUUCCCGGUGUAGCAGUGAAAUGCGUAGAGAUCGGGAGGAACACCAGUGGCGAAGGCGGCUACCUGGACCAGCACUGACACUGAAGCACGAGAGCGUGGGGAGCAAACAGG